UACGUAGGGUGCGAGCGUUGUCCGGAAUUAUUGGGCGUAAAGGGCUCGUAGGCGGUUUGUCGCGUCGGGAGUGAAAACCCAGGGCUUAACCCUGGGCUGGCUUCCGAUACGGGCAGACUAGAGGUAUGCAGGGGAGAACGGAAUUCCUGGUGUAGCGGUGAAAUGCGCAGAUAUCAGGAGGAACACCGGUGGCGAAGGCGGUUCUCUGGAACGCAACUGACGCUGAGACGCGAAAGCGUGGGGAGCAAACAGG
rnacentral:rRNA from 1 species